GGAGAGGAAGGAGGCAGAGCAAUGGAGAGAUGCUGCUGAAGAGGCUUGCCUUUUUUUCCUGAUGAUCCUCCAAACCUCCUGUGCUGACUUAAAAAUAGCCACAGCAUCUCCAUGUGCUUGGCUUUGCUCUGCCUGGCUUAAUAGGAACCUUGCCACAAGUCCUGCUGUCUUUGAGUGCUAGCUCCUGCCAGCUCUCUGCUAAAAGGGCUGGGCUCUACCUCAGCUGACCCCAGCUCCCCAUAGACUUGCUUGUCCUCGGGUUGUAUUCUUCCUACCUGUCGGGAAGGAUCGGUGCAUGUUGGUUUUGGAGCAAGGGUUUGCCUCCCCACCACUAUUCCCUCUGGUAGUUGCGUUUAAAAGGAAGAGCAGGGGGAGAACAAGAUCCUGAAGAGUCAUGAAUGAUGUCUGAAGUUAUACUCGGGUUGGGACUGCGCUUAUUGAUUUUCAAUGAAACCAUGUACAGAAGGAAGAGACCUCCUUGCCUCCCUCUGAUCCAAGAUACUUCUCCAGCUUUUUUUUUUAAAAAAAAAAAAGCACAGGGGGAAAUCUGGCUGCAAGCAGUCAGGCUUCAACCAGCCUGUCAGACAGCUCUCUGCAGGAACACAAUCCAUGUUGAUUUUACAGAGAAGGUUGUUAUCCACAUUUCACCACUGAUUUAUUGUUUUUUAACCAGCUCCUUAUGCUGGGCUUUUUUUUUCCUUUUUUUUUUUUUUUUUUGUUAAAAAAAAAGUCCUUUUGCACUUGGCGAGUGGGAUUUGUGGUGCAGCAGCGCCCUGCCUCCUGUGCCCGCUGGGCAGCGGGGCUGAGUGCUGCCAUCUCAGCAGCCGGCCACUCGUGCCUUUUCCUUGAUAUUUGUGGGAUUUAUGGGGGCUGUGGCUGAUGCCCAGCUGGUGUGGGGCAACCUGGCUGCAAGCACGGAAAUGUCCCUGCCGGGCUCCUCGGCUGCUGAAAGAUGGGUACGGUGGAGGUGGGUUUGAUGAAGCCCCACAGAAUUAAACUGGCCAAAGGAGUCGCGUCGCCUCCAUCUGUAGAAUUCAUUAGGCGAGCUUGAUUGGCCUUUGUUAAACAAAGAUGGGAUAAGGUUUCAUACUUUUUCUGUGGGAGUCGAGCUAAAGUUUCAGGCUGAUGAUUUAGUCAGGUGUAAGCAUGAAGUUUCCAAUUUAGAGGAAUAAAUCUAAAGUGAUUUUAUUAUCCUCUGCUUUACCCUGACACCCUGCUUCACCCCGACUCGCUGUCAGAGCACACGUGAUGUGUUAGUGUGGGCCAGGCCCUCGUCGGCUGGCAGGCAGUACAACGCAAUGCACAGAAGGCAUCUUCCAUGCAACACUGACGCUGGUA